rnacentral:lncRNA from 10 species
GGGAGCUUAGAUGUGGAAGCUCUUUGGAAACCAAGAAACACUCUGAAAAUGAAAAGGGUGGAAGAGUAAACUGUUCCUGUUUCUCCAUCUUGACAGGAAGCAGAAGUUCUCCUUAGCUGAUUUUUCUUCUUGCCUUAUACUGGGUUCUUUAACACCAGAACAAAAAUAAAUAAAUAAAAGAAUCUUCCAGAAAUUCAUGAAGAGACUUCAGGUCAGGAAAGCCUGAACUUUCUCAUCCAACACCCGUUCAAGUCGGAGGAUGCUGAUUAAUUCAUGAUGGAAAGGUAUCAAUUUCACAGCCCAGACCUCUACAUUCUUGAAAUGCUCUUCUCAUGGGAGACAUUAAAUAAGCUUUGAAUUAACUGUCAGACGUUUGCUGAAUUCAGUUCUGAGCUUUUGAACCAAAAGCAGAUCUUCAGAACAAGAAACAAGAUAAUAAAAGAGAAACAUGAAGAAACUGAAGAUGAUUGGAGAAAUAUGAAUCAAGAUGAUUAGACCUAGCAGAGGGCUGGCUGGAUGGCAUUUAUGUUGACAAUGGACUCCUACACAGAGGAUGAUCAUGGUCUAGGACAUAAUAGUCAUUCAAUCAUCAUUUCUUAAAUGAUUUUUUAAAACAAGUGAAUGAAUGACCAAUUAUAUACCUUCCCUGAGCCAAUAAAAUAUAUUAAAAGUAUAGGCCUGGGCACAGUGGCUCAUGCCUGU